CUAGUGCAGGCUUCUGCUUAGGCCUUUGACUAUAGUUUAAUAUAAACCACUGCUGCAUGAACACUUAAACAAUUUAAAUAAUUGCACAUAGACUUGCUAUAGGAGUGCGAGGUGCGUGGGUGACCUAAAUACGCAGAACUUGGAGGAACUGGUUGGCCCGGAGCCUGGAGCUCGUGCAGGGAGCCCCCGAGGGUGUGGGGUGGAUACUGUACACCCAUUUCUGCAAAGUUUCCACCCUUGUCUUUCCGCUGGUAACCCUGGCCGGCUGCCUCUUGUCUUCACAGUAGGUGAUGAGAGGGGGAGGACUGAGUGAGCGAGUGUUCGUCCGAACGACCAACAGACAGACAGACCAACAGACAGAUUGAAUGACGCCGCACCUGGUGCUUCUGAGGGCCUUUCCCAUGUUUUGAUUGGCUCCAUUUUUUACUUUCUAAACUUGGUUUCACCGAGCCGCUGCCUGCCAUGCCGUCCAACAGUCCUGCUGCCGCCGAACCGCCCCAGACACCAGAGAAUGACACAGCCAAUGACGUGUGUUCAUGUGACCCUGCCCCCACUGCAUACACACACACGAUUGACUGAAGCCAGAAGAUCUGUGAGCGCUCCUCCGACUGCUGCACAAGGGACUGUGCUAAUGUCCACCUGCGUUUGGUAAGUAAAUUAAG